UACGGGGGGGGCAAGCGUUGUUCGGAAUUACUGGGCGUAAAGGGCGCGUAGGCGGUGCUCUAAGUCGGAUGUGAAAACUCUGGGCUCAACCCAGAGCCUGCAUCCGAAACUGGAGUGCUAGAGUUCUGGAGGGGGUAGCGGAAUUCCUGGUGUAGCGGUGAAAUGCGCAGAUAUCGGGAAGAACACCCGUGGCGAAGGCGGUUCUCUGGGACGGUACUGACGCUGAGACGCGAAAGCGUGGGGAGCGAACAGG
rnacentral:rRNA from 1 species